UACGGGAAGCCAGGGAACACCCCAGGACCUGGGGGGCGGCUGAACAGGUCCAGCUUCCCGUUCAGCUCCAUCUUGUGGGAGUCCAUCUGCAUUUGCUGAGAGAGGCGAGAAGGACACAGACAUGGAGAGAUGGAGAGCUGUAUCCAGGGCCCCCUCACCUUCAUCUUCUGCUGAUGAUGGUAGAUCUGCCAGGCAAUCUGGACGUGGACGGCGCACCACUUCCCGGGCUUCUGGGAAAAGAAACAGACGCUGCUUCUUAACUCCACGCCACACCUCCGGAAACAUCUGCUACUACGUCACCAGGCACAGGAGUCCGUCUUCACAGGGGACACGCCGUCUGUUGCGGGCUGCGGGAAGUUCUUCGAGGGCACCCCAGAUGAAAUGUACCGGGCACUGAUCGAAAACCGUUUUAUUUCUUUUUUUUAAUCGUUAAGGUAUUUAGAGAGAAUGUCUACAGUUUUUCUAGUUAAAUAGCUCGUUAGAAGUUUUGAUCUUGUUAUUAGUAUACUUAUCCUGCUUUUCUUAAAUUGUAUAAUUAAUGUGAAAUAUGUAAUUAUUCAUAGUCUUGCAGUUAGCUAGAAAGAUAUUGAUUUUUCUGGAAUGAUUAUCCUUAGAAGUUUUGUACACAUCAAAGAGCAGUUUAACAAAUUAUAGUAUAAGAAAGAUGCCAAUUUGAUGUACUGUCUAUUGUCAUCAAUAAAACACUCAAACUACAGCCCUAAAAAAAAGAAUAAUAAAAAAAGGAAGACAUGCA